AGUGAACGCUGGCGGUAGGCCUAACACAUGCAAGUCGAACGGCAGCACAGGAGAGCUUGCUCUCUGGGUGGCGAGUGGCGGACGGGUGAGGAAUACACCGGAAUCUACUUUUUCGUGGGGGAUAACGUAGGGAAACUUACGCUAAUACCGCAUACGACCUACGGGUGAAAGCAGGGGACCUUCGGGCCUUGCGCGAUUGAAUGAGCCGAUGUCGGAUUAGCUAGUUGGCGGGGUAAAGGCCCACCAAGGCGACGAUCCGUAGCUGGUCUGAGCGGAUGAUCAGCCACACUGGAACUGAGACACGGUCCAGACUCCUACGGGAGGCAGCAGUGGGGAAUAUUGGACAAUGGGCGCAGGCCUGAUCCAGCCAUACCGCGUGGGUGAAGAAGGCCUUCGGGUUGUAAAGCCCUUUUGUUGGGAAAGAAAUCCAGCUGGCUAAUACCCGGUUGGGAUGACGGUACCCAAAGAACAAGCACCGGCUAACUUCGUGCCAGCCGCCGCAGUAA
rnacentral:rRNA from 1 species